rnacentral:rRNA from 1 species
UACGGAGGGUGCAAGCGUUGUCCGGAAUCACUGGGCGUAAAGGGCGCGUAGGCGGCUCAUGAAGGCUUGUGGUGAAAGUCCGGGGCUCAACCUCGGAUCGGGCCGUGGCGACUCGUGGGCUGGAGCACUGUAGAGGCGGGUGGAAUUCCGGGUGGUAGCGGUGGAAUGCGUAGAGAUCCGGAAGAACACCAGUGGCGAAGGGCGGCCCGCUGGGCAGUGGCUGACGGCUGAGGCGCGACAGCGUG